GUGCGUCUGGGAGGCGCUGGGCGCGCACCGGUCAGCGGAGGCGGGAGAGUCUGUGAUCCCAGGGAGCUGCGGGUCUCGCCGCCUGCAGUGCGGAAGACCCGUGACCGGCGCAGACCCCGGCCUUACCUUCCGAGGGUCGAACUGUGCCUGGUAUUUGCCUCUUUCCUCCCGCCCACGGGGUUGCUCAGAGUCGGGCCACCUCACCUGAGGUUUUCCAGAGUGAGAAUGAACUGAGCGUCCUGGGAGCAACUCCGCAUCAGGUACUGUCAAGAUGAUAAGCAUGGAAUAAAGCUUCAGAAGGGUCUUUACCAAUCUUUCUCCUACCAACUUUUACAUACAUGAAAUCAGGUUAAAAUGAACUUUACAGAAAUACUUCACAAGGGAAUAAAGUAGAGGAAAAAGGGAUAACAUGUAACAUGGAGUCAAGGAAAAAGAGUGUGAAGUAGUUUUGCUCUCUCUAUCUUGCAAAUAGGAGUCCUUAAAGACAACUGGGAGAAGGGGUUUGAGAUAGUGAAUUCCUAAGAAGAAAAUAAUGGAUUGCAUAUUAGUUGUUCUCUAAGUGGACUCAACAGUGUGCAAGCUUGUUGGAAAAGCCAAAAGAAGAUGGCAACUCCUUAUGUCCCAGUUCCUAUGCCCAUAGGAAACUCUGCUUCCAGUUUUACAACAAACAGAAAUCAAAGAAGUUCUUCUUUUGGCAGUGUCUCAACAAGCUCAAAUUCUUCUAAGGGCCAGUUAGAAGACUCAAAUAUGGGUAAUUUUAAACAGACAAGUGUUCCUGAUCAAAUGGAUAAUACUUCAUCUGUCUGUAGCAGUCCCCUCAUUAGGACUAAAUUUACAGGUACAGCUUCUUCCAUUGAGUAUUCUACUAGACCAAGAGACA
rnacentral:lncRNA from 1 species